rnacentral:rRNA from 1 species
ACGUACAGGCUGCCGGGAAUACUGCAAAGCUAGGGAGUGGGAGAAGUAGACGGUACACGGUAGGAAGUGGUAAAAUGCUUUGAUCUAUCGAUGACCACCUGUGGCGAAGGCGGUCUACUAGAACACGUCCGACGGUGAGGGAUGAAAGCUGGGGGAGCAAACCGGAUUAGAUACCCGGGUAGUCCCAGCUGUAAACUAUGCAAACUCAGUGAUGCAUUGGCUUGUGGCCAAUGCAGUGCUGCAGGGAAGCCGUUAAGUUUGCCGCCUGGGAAGUACGUACGCAAGUAUGAAACUUAAAGGAAUUGGCGGGGGAGCACCACAAGGGGUGAAGCCUGCGGUUCAAUUGGAGUCAACGCCAGAAAUCUUACCCGGAGAGACAGCAGAAUGAAGGUCAAGCUGAAGACUUUACCAGACAAGCUGAGAGGUGGUGCAUGGCCGUCGCCAGCUCGUGCCGUGAGAUGUCCUGUUAAGUCAGGUAACGAGCGAGAUCCCUGCCUCUAGUUGCCACCAUUACUCUCAGGAGUAGUGGGGCGAAUUAGCGGGACCGCCGCAGUUAAUGCGGAGGAAGGAAGGGGCCACGGCAGGUCAGUAUGCCCCGAAACUCUGGGGCCACACGCGGGCUGCAAUGGUAACGACAAUUGGUUUCGAAUCCGAAAGGAUGAGGUAAUCCACAAACGCUACCACAGUUAUGACUGAGGGCUGCAACUCGCCCUCACGAAUAUGGAAUCCCUAGUAACUGCGUGUCAUUAUCGCGCGGUGAAUACGUCCCUGCUCCUUGCACACACCGCCCGUCGUUUCAUUGAAGUGAGCUUUUAGCGAGGUGACGUCUAAUUGGCGUUAUCGAACUUGAGGUUCGUGACAAGGGAAAAGUCGUAACAAGGUGACCGUAGGGGAACCUGCGGUCG